rnacentral:tRNA from 1 species
GGAGAGGUGGCAGAGAGGUCUAUUGCGUCUGAUUUGAAAUCAGAUGAAGUAAUUACUUCCGUGGGUUCGAAUCCCAUCUUCUCUU